rnacentral:rRNA from 1 species
UACGAAGGGGGCUAGCGUUGUUCGGAAUCACUGGGCGUAAAGCGCACGUAGGCGGAUGUGUCAGUCAGGGGUGAAAUCCCGGAGCUCAACUUCGGAACUGCCUCUGAUACAGCACGUCUUGAGUCCGGAAGAGGUGGGUGGAAUCCCUAGUGUAGAGGUGAAAUUCGUAGAUAUUAGGAAGAACACCGGUGGCGAAGGCGGCCCACUGGUCCGGUACUGACGCUGAGGUGCGAAAGCGUGGGGAGCAAACAGG